rnacentral:lncRNA from 1 species
UCUUAAUAAAACAUUAAAAUAAAAAAUUUAAUUAAAUUUCACUCAAAAUUUAGUCAAAUCUUAAUCAAAUUUUAAUUUAACCUUGAUCAAAUCCUUGGCAAAUCCUAGUCAAUUCUUAAAUAAGCCUUAAUCAAAUCUUGGACAAAUCUUAGUCAAAUCCUAAACAAAUUCUAACCAAAUCUUAAUCAAAUCUUUAACAAAUUCUAACCAAAGCUUAAUCAAAUCCUAAAUAAAUCAUAACCAAAUUUUAAUCAAAUCCUAAAUAAAUCCUAAUCAAAUUCUAAAUAAAUCUUAGUCAAAUUCUGAAUAAAUUCGAAUAAAACCUUAAUCAAAUCCUAAAUAAACCUUAGUCAAAUCCUAUUCAAAUUUUAAUCAAAUUCUAAAAAAAUCUUAAUAAAAUCUUAAUAAAAUCUUAGUCAAAUAUUAAUCAAAUCCUAAAUAAGUCCUAAUCAAACUCUAGACAAAGCCUUGAUAAAUCCUUAAUAAGCCCUAACUAAAUCCUAGAUAAACCCUAGUCAAAUUUUAGUCAAAUCAUAAUCAAAUCCUAAUAAAAUCUUAAUCAAAUUCUAAACAAAUUCUAAUCAAAUUCUAAUAAAAUCUUAGUCAAAUCCUAAUCAAAUCCUAAAUAAGUCCUAAUCAAAUUCUAGACAAAUAUUCAAUAAAUCCUAAAUAAACCUUUACCAAUUCCUAAACAAAUCAUAAUCGAAUUCUAGUCAAAUUGUAAUUAAAUCUUAAUCAAACCUAAAACAAAUCCUAAUAAAAUCCUAAAUAAGUCCGAAACAAACUCUAGACAAAUUCUAGUCAAACUCUAGUCAAAUCCUAAUCAAAUUCUAAUCAAAUUCUAAACAAAUCCUAAAUAAAUCCUAGUCACAUUCUAGUCAAAUCCUAGUCAAAUCCUAAAUAAGUCCAAACCAAAUCCUAAACAAAUCAUAGUCAAAUCUUAGACAAAUUCUAAUUAAAAUCUAACCUAAACUAAAU